CCAUAACGUCCCCAACCCCAUGUGCAAACCCGUCCAUCUCGCCCUACCACAGCUGCAUGCCAAGCACCCGCUGCAACCACCAUAGGCUGAAGGUUCAAAAGCUGAAAUUGUUCAACUAAUCGAGGAUACUUCUCAUCAGUUCUUGAUCCGUGCCCCAGCUCCCCACCAAAGCCGCAUCCAACAGAGUACACUGACAUCCCACUAGGUUGGCAAGCCAGAGCAAGAAGGUAACAGUAUCCAGCUGCAAUUUGUACCAC
rnacentral:misc_RNA from 1 species